UACGUAGGGUGCGAGCGUUAAUCGGAAUUACUGGGCGUAAAGCGUGCGCAGGCGGUUGUGUAAGACAGGCGUGAAAUCCCCGGGCUCAACCUGGGAAUGGCGCUUGUGACUGCACGGCUGGAGUGCGGCAGAGGGGGAUGGAAUUCCGCGUGUAGCAGUGAAAUGCGUAGAUAUGCGGAGGAACACCGAUGGCGAAGGCAGUCCCCUGGGCCUGCACUGACGCUCAUGCACGAAAGCGUGGGGAGCAAACAGG
rnacentral:rRNA from 2 species